CUUAGAAAUCGUAUAAAUCUCCUUAGGAAUAUUCCUGACUGUCGGAUCAGCUUUGGAUUGCUCAGAUCUGCUCAAAAAUCAGAGUUAUAAUCCUUAUCAGGGUCGGAUCAAAUGUCAGCCGUCCGAUCUGGGUUCUGAUGAAGUUCUAGCCGUCAGAUCGCGUAAAAGUAUCCUUAACACAGUUGGGAGCGAUAACAGUCGUUGGAUCGCGUGAUGGAUUGCUUCUUGGCCGUCGGAUUGUGCAAAAGAGUCCUAUUCAAAGUCGGCAACGAGUUUGAACCAUCGGAUCUGG
rnacentral:lncRNA from 1 species